GACGAACGCUGGCGGCGUGCCUAAUACAUGCAAGUAGAACGCUGAAGAGAGGAGCUUGCUCUUCUUGGAUGAGUUGCGAACGGGUGAGUAACGCGUAGGUAACCUGCUUGGUAGCGGGGGAUAACUAUUGGAAACGAUAGCUAAUACCGCAUGAAAUUGCUUAUCGCAUGAUAAUUGAUUGAAAGAUGCAAUUGCAUCACUACCAGAUGGACCUGCGUUGUAUUAGCUAGUUGGUGAGGUAACGGCUCACCAAGGCGACGAUACAUAGCCGACCUGAGAGGGUGAUCGGCCACACUGGGACUGAGACACGGCCCAGACUCCUACGGGAGGCAGCAGUAGGGAAUCUUCGGCAAUGGGGGGAACCCUGACCGAGCAACGCCGCGUGAGUGAAGAAGGUUUUCGGAUCGUAAAGCUCUGUUGUAAGAGAAGAACGGGUGUGAGAGUGGAAAGUUCACACUGUGACGGUAUCUGACCAGAAAGGGACGGCUAACUACGUG
rnacentral:rRNA from 1 species